rnacentral:rRNA from 1 species
GAUGAACGCUGGCGGCGUGCCUAAUACAUGCAAGUCGAGCGAACAGACGAGGAGCUUGCUCCUCUGACGUUAGCGGCGGACGGGUGAGUAACACGUGGAUAACCUACCUAUAAGACUGGGAUAACUUCGGGAAACCGGAGCUAAUACCGGAUAAUAUAUUGAACCGCAUGGUUCAAUAGUGAAAGACGGUUUUGCUGUCACUUAUAGAUGGAUCCGCGCCGCAUUAGCUAGUUGGUAAGGUAACGGCUUACCAAGGCAACGAUGCGUAGCCGACCUGAGAGGGUGAUCGGCCACACUGGAACUGAGACACGGUCCAGACUCCUACGGGAGGCAGCAGUAGGGAAUCUUCCGCAAUGGGCGAAAGCUUGACGGAGCAACGCCGCGUGAGUGAUGAAGGUCUUCGGAUCGUAAAGCUCUGUUAUUAGGGAAGAACAAAUGUGUAAGUAACUAUGCACGUCUUGACGGUACCUAAUCAGAAAGCCCCGGCUAACUACGUG